rnacentral:lncRNA from 1 species
GUUGGAGGAGGAGGAGAAGAAAAGGAAGAGGAAAAAGGAAAAAACCAAGUGGAAAAGAGGGGUGGAUAGGCCUCGCCGCCCCUUUCCGGCAGCUUUGCGUUCGGCACUCCCUCGAAAUUACCGAAGAAAUUUUCCAUGUUUCAGUCUCAAAAGUUUUCUUCUGUCUUGUGACUACCGACUAGGUCUGCUUUGUUAAGUGGGAACAUACAGUUGCUAACUUAGUUUUAAGUUUACACUGUUCUAGGAUCUAUUGAAGAGAUACACUGUUGUAUAGGAUCAACGUGCAUGAUGGUGGAUCAACAUGGUUUAUUGGUUUGCUUUUCCUAGCGUUUCAAAUCACGGUAACAAGUGCUUCUCUUUCACGUCCGUAGGCAUGGUUCCCCAAAUUUAUUAACUGUGGCACGCUACAUUGUUUACUAUCUACUGUUUGAUAGCUUUAUUUUGUAUCUG